GCUGAAGAGUAGGGUUGAUCCGAGCGUUCUGAUCUCACAAAAGCAGUCAAGCUAGCUAACUGGCUAAAGUUGGCCAGCUUUCUAGCUACUCCCAGACACAAAUGAGAGAACCUCACUCUGGCCAUUGUACUUGUUAUCUACAGCGUUAGUGGCUUUAACUGUGCUGCUGGCAACAUCAUACUUAAUUGCUUUGCCUACGUUUACUGACACCUGUCAGAUUCAGCGUUUUUUGGCGCGUUCGUCAAUUCAUCGGUUAUUCUGCGAUCUUGCACACUCAGACGAGAGUGCUCUGAAAUCGGAGUAGAUAUCCAUAGUGAAUUUUCGAACGCACCCUCUAAUCAGGCACAAUUGAGCCAGCCAACCUGUAUCGUCAUUUCGGGGUCCUUAUUCAGAGUGACCAACGAGGAUUAGUCCGUGAUUCGACCUUUUUCGUGUAUGUUAUUUUUGUUUAGUUAGCCAAGUAAAAUGUACUACAAGUUAAAUGCAGUUACACAAAGACUUAUCCAAUCGGCACCGAGUGCUGACAACCCUCAGGGAUUGAGGAUAACAGUGCCCACGGAGGCUCCCCCAAUGAUCUUUGCCACACCCACCAAAUAUGUGUCAGAGGCAGGGAACAUGGUGGAGUACCUGGGACACAACAAAGUCACUGACCUUCUAGAAGUCUGAUGGUAUCCCGGUGCACCUGAAGGGAGGCCUGAUGGACAAGAUGCUGUACAGGACUACCAUGUCCCUGACCAUCGGUGGGACCCUCUACUGCCUGAUGGCUCUCUACAUCGCUGCCCAGCCUCGGAAGUGAUCAGCUUCCUCCUCUUCAAGGGUCCAGCAGGAUUUUAUAUGAGUCAGAUUAGGAGCAAUAAUGUGUUAUGUUUGUGGUUCACAUGGCAACAGUUAGCCAGCAGCAUACCACCCUGCAUCCCACAGCUGGCUUGCUUCUGAAGCUAAGCAGGGUUGGUCCAUGGAUGGGAGACCAGGUGGUGUUGGAUGGCCAGUAGGAGGCUCCCAGUAGGAGGUAUCCUCUGAUCUAAAAUAUAUCCCAGGGCAGUGUUUGGGGACAUUGCCCUGUGUAGGUUGCUGUCUUUUGGAUGGGACGUUAAACGGGUGUCCUGACUUUGUGGUCACUAAAGAUCCCAUGGUACUUAUUGUAAGAGUAGGGGUGUUAACCCUGGUGUCCUGGCUAAAUUCCCAAUCUGGCCCUCAUAUCAUCAUUGUCACCUUAUCAUCCCCAGUUUCCAAUUGGCUCAUUCCUCUCCCCUGUAACUAUUCCCCAGGUUGUUGCUGUAAAUGAAAAUGUGUUCUCAGUCAAUUUACCUGGCAAAAUAAGGUUAAAAAUACAAUCCUAGAAGUGUUCAUUCACACCUUGAGAUAGAAAAAUGUAUUUUCUCUUUCCUUGUCAUUGGAAAAUAAUUUCACUGCUCUGAUAAACACAAUGUAGGAGAGAAUGAAAGGCCUAGCUAUCUGUUUCCUUAUAUCUCCUUUCUGUGAAAUAUAUAUUUUGUUG